CAAAAAAUCAUCUUAUAAUCCUGAGCCACACGUUUUUGAGAGUUUGGAGAUUAAAAUGAAUUCCAAGAGUAUCUGCAAUGAAUAUGUUUGGAGAAGUUUUGAAGAUCCCGAUUUCAGCCUGAAGCAGAGACGGUCUUGGGAAUUUACAGACUCAUGGUUGAGAAAGAAAGCCACACGGUCUUAUCCACAGGCUUUCUGUACAGAAAUGAAAAGAAGCAGUGAGGCAUGUAGUUGGUGAUACUUCAAAUUGGGUGAGUCACCCUCAAGGAAUGCCUGGGAGGUGUAUGAGGCAUCAGCCACGCACCACAGUCCACAGAACCCGGCAAAUAUUCAAGCAUACCAGAUUUGCAUGAAGGGCCAUGAUUUCUGCUCAGUACCCUUCUUUUCAGUAUCAUACUGUCAGAAGUUUUGGAACAAAGUGGAUUGAUUAAUAUUUACUGAUGUAUGACAUCAUCAAAAGGAAAACAUCUGUCUAAUUCUGGGAGAUGUCUCGGUCCUUAGUGUUAAUGACCUCUAAUCACAAGUGGUCAGCAGAGCAAAGAAAUACUGAACAGUGUGCAUCUGUUGGGUCCCUGUGUACAGUAGGUCUUUUCCCAGCAUUGCUCAGAAAAUUCAGGAAGAGGUAAAUUCACAGGAAGUGAGAUCUGGGUCACCUCUGUGCAUAGAUUAUGUCUCUGAUCCAAAAAAUUAACUUUAUAAUGAAAUUCUAUCAUCAGAAGAAACUAGGAAAAGUAUAAUUGGCAUCAAAAAUUUAUGUUCUCAAUAGCCAUAUUUUAUAAAUUUAUCUACAAAAAAGAUACUUUCCUCCCCCUAAUAUAAUACUAACCUAUAUACAGUCCAGCAGGAAGUUCAGUUAUCAGAAGAAAAAGACAUUCACUUUAUUAUCUACAUCUUCUUAGCUGGGAUCAUGUAGGGCUUUGAAAUUAUCAUUUAAUUAUGACUGAGGAAAGUCAAGCUUUGAGGAAGAUUAAAGGAUCUAGUGUGGCCCUUCAGAGAAGGUGAUUACCAGGAAAGUUGGCAAAAACAGAUUAGAGGCAGAUUUAUGUGAGACUGAGAACGAAUGACACACAGUGAAGUGACAGGACACUAACCUGGAAGACACACUCUACCUCACUGUGACUUAUAUCAUUAGGCUGAAAAAUGUUUUUAAUAAUAAACACCUAUAUUUUGUCAUUAGAAAUGUCAACACCGAAAGUACCAGAAUUUUCGAAUUACAAAUCUCCAAGUUACUGAGAAAACGAGGCUGUGUUUUAAUACUAACAUCAAAUGAAUAAUUUACAACUCUGAAAAUGUGUUGACACUCAAAACUCAAGUAGUCAUCUUGUAGUAGACACUAUGGAAACAGAAGCACCCCAGUAAAGCCAAUUCCCAUUUGAAGGACUUGAUUAAUACAAGAGGAUACUGUUAGAUAUUUUACCAUCAAGAUAUGCUGCAUGUAAAUUAAUGGGAUUUGGUCUUUAGAUUCUUAUGCCAUGAACAUGUGAACACUACCUUAAAAAGAAAUAUAAAAUACAUGUGAUGAGCUGGAAUAUAAUGUCUAUGAUAAAAUAUAACUUUAAACCAAACUUUAGAGUUAUUUGUUUUUGUUCCUAGACAAAUUUAGGAAGCAGAAACUAAUGCCAAAUAGAUAGGUUUUAUUUAUUUUAUUUAUUGAUUUGUUGCUCAUUUGUUUCAAUAUUCACCAGAAAUCUGCCAGCCUUCAUGCCCACAGCAAAAGAAAAAACAAAACUGAUUUAUAUGUGUAUACAGCAAAGGGCGGGAGAACAGUGCCAAGGCAGUUUCCUCUCUUUUAAUGACUGGAUAACCCUCAAUGACACCACUCAAUGAUAACAUUGUUGGUAAGCCUGGGGCAUGGGGGACUCUUCUACACUGUUGGUAGGAAUAUAAACUAGAAUAAUUUUAUGGAGAUCAGCACACAGGUUCCUCAAAAACUAAACCUAAAAAUUCCAUUCUACCUAGGUAUUCAGUUUCUAGCUAUCUUCCUGAAAGCAUUAAAGACAUCAUAAUAUAGUGAUACGUGAACCCCCAUUUUUAUAACAAAACAAUUUCUAAUAGCUGAAUCUCAGAAGUGGCCUGUGUUUCCAUCAAUAGAUGAAGGGAUAAGGAAAAUGUAGUAUUUUACUACGGAGUACUACUCUGCUAUGAAGAAGGAUAACAGUCUUUUGUAGAAAAAUGGUUGCACCUUGAGACUAUAAUAUUGUCAAAUAAAUCAAACACAGCUUAAAUUUGACAUAUUCUCUCUUAUAUUAGAAACCUUAAAGAAAAAUAAAUUGAAGAGUAAAAUAAAAGGUAGGUAAUAGAAACACAGAGAUAGGUUUUUUGGGAAAGAGAAAGGGAACACAAAUGAAGCAGGAAGGGGAGGAAAAACAGUUGAGAUAUGUUGUGUGGACCAACUCCCCACAGUGCAUGUAAUCACUAUGUACUUGCAAACAUGUGCCAACCAAAAGAAAGAGUCACACAAAGGCAAAGUUAAUGUCACCAUUUAAAGAAGUAGGUGGAAGAUAAUUGUCCCAAGUCAAUUCUUUAAGUAUCUCACGGGCACAUUUCUCUUCUUACUACCCGUGCAACCCUUCAGCCCUGCACGCGCUGUCAUUCCAUAGAGUCGCUUCCAGCACUGCUAAAAGCAUGCCUGCUCAUUCCAGCUACCCAGCCCUCUACUUUAACUCUUUUCUUUAUUCACUGAUUUGGAAUUGAGCAGUGAUCUUCACCUCCACUUCAUUAUUCACCACUUAAUUGUUGUGCUCUGUCCCUGGCAUCAGUAAGAAAUUUGUAGCUCUUUAAAGCUGGAAGAGAUAAGUUAGCUGACAUUUUUUCUUUCUAAUGAGUACUGGAAAACAUGUGCAAAGACAAAAAAAAAAAAAAAAAAAAAAGGGGAUGAGGGAAUGGGUAGAAUGGCAGGAGGGGAGGGCAGGAGAUGAAAAAAGGAAUUAAGAUGUGUUUUGGCCAAGUACGGAUUUCCCACAAGGAAUGUAAACAUUAUGUUCUACACACAUG
ensembl:lincRNA